rnacentral:rRNA from 1 species
AUUGAACGCUGGCGGAAUGCUUUACACAUGCAAGUCGAGCGGCAGCACGGGGGCAACCCUGGUGGCGAGCGGCGAACGGGUGAGUAAUACAUCGGAGCAUGCCCAGUCGUGGGGGAUAACACUUCGAAAGAAGUGCUAAUACCGCAUACGUCCUGAGGGAGAAAGCGGUGGAUCUUCGGACCUCGCGCGAUUGGAGUGGCCGAUGUCAGAUUAGCUAGUUGGUGGGGUAAAGGCCUACCAAGGCAACGAUCUGUAGCUGGUCUGAGAGGAUGAUCAGCCACACUGGGACUGAGAAAAGGCCCAGACUCCUACGGGAGGCAGCAGUGGGGAAUUUUGGACAAUGGGGGCAACCCUGAUCCAGCCAUUCCGCGUGAGUGAAGAAGGCCUUCGGGUUGUAAAGCUCUUUCGGCAGGAACGAAACGGUGAGCUCUAACAUAGCUUGCUAAUGACGGUACCUGAAGAAGAAGCACCGGCUAACUACGUGCCAGCCGCCGCCGUAACAC